GUUGGUGGGGUAACGGCCUACCAAGCCAACGAUCAGUAGCCGACCUGAGAGGGUGACCGGCCACAUUGGGACUGAGACACGGCCCAAAACUCCUACGGGAGGCAGCAGUGGGGAAUAUUGCACAAUGGGGGGAACCCUGAUGCAGCGACGCCGCGUGAGCGAAGAAGUAUUUCGGUAUGUAAAGCUCUAUCAGCAGGGAAGAAAAUGACGGUACCUGACUAAGAAGCACCGGCUAAAUACGUGCCAGCAGCCGCGGUAAUACGUAUGGUGCAAGCGUUAUCCGGAUUUACUGGGUGUAAAGGGAGCGUAGACGGCUGUGUAAGUCUGAAGUGAAAGCCCGGGGCUCAACCCCGGGACUGCUUUGGAAACUAUGCAGCUAGAGUGUCGGAGAGGUAAGUGGAAUUCCCAGUGUAGCGGUGAAAUGCGUAGAUAUUGGGAGGAACACCAGUGGCGAAGGCGGCUUACUGGACGAUGACUGACGUUGAGGCUCGAAAGCGUGGGGAGCAAACAGGAUUAGAUACCCUGGUAGUCCACGCCGUAAACGAUGACUACUAGGUGUCGGGGAGCAAAGCUCUUCGGUGCCGCAGCAAACGCAAUAAGUAGUCCACCUGGGGAGUACGUUCGCAAGAAUGAAACUCAAAGGAAUUGACGGGGACCCGCACAAGCGGUGGAGCAUGUGGUUUAAUUCGAAGCUACGCGAAGAACCUUACCUGCUCUUGACAUCCCGGUGACCGGCAUGUAAUGAUGCCUUUUCUUCGGAACACCGGUGACAGGUGGUGCAUGGUUGUCGUCAGCUCGUGUCGUGAGAUGUUGGGUUAAGUCCCGCAACGAGCGCAACCCUUAUCUUCAGUAGCCAGCAAUUCGGAUGGGCACUCUGGAGAGACUGCCAGGGAUAACCUGGAGGAAGGUGGGGAUGACGUCAAAUCAUCAUGCCCCUUAUGAGCAGGGCUACACACGUGCUACAAUGGCGUAAACAAAGGGAAGCGAGCCUGCGAGGGUAAGCAAAUCUCAAAAAUAACGUCUCAGUUCGGAUUGUAGUCUGCAACUCGACUACAUGAAGCUGGAAUCGCUAGUAAUCGCGAAUCAGCAUGUCGCGGUGAAUACGUUCCCGGGUCUUGUACACACCGCCCGUCACACCAUGGGAGUUGGUAACGCCCGAAGUCAGUGACCCAACCGUAAGGAGGGAGCUGCCGAAGGUGGGACCGAUAACUGGGGUGAAGUCGUAACAAGGUAGCCGUAUCGGAAGGUGCGGCUG
rnacentral:rRNA from 1 species